AUGUCGUUGCAGCCAACAGAUGGACUAAAGAGGGUGAGACCCGGAUGGAGAAGAAUCGCAUUUAAAAUCAAGUGGAAGGACUGCGCCAUUAGUGAGCUGGGGAGCAAACCAAGGGUUGCCCUGGAAAUACGGACUGGACACCCCUGGAUGCAUGGCCUUUCUGGACUCUCUUCAUCGGACUUCCAGAGCACGGUUUGUCUGGUUCACAUCUUUCCAACCACUUCUCUUUCUCCGUCGCGUCAAUCUCCACCUUCGCUCUUCUCCCUCUGCAGUUACUCCUGUAGAUACUGGGCUGCACAGUUACCUGUAGCCUCUCUGUCCUACCCUUUGAUACCCUCCCCCGUGCUGCUGGGGCUGGAAACCAGCACACUUAUUUUCCUGGGCUCGUUUGCCAGCUGCCUUGAGGUUAGGCUCUGUCGUAGAGGCGCUAGGGUGAGGUCAGAAAGCAGGAGAAAGAUGCGAGGUCCUUCUCCUGGCUCCUACCACCUCUCCUAUAGGCAGUGACUGCUUUUGCAAAAUACUUUAUGUGCCUGAUUUCUAAACACUGCGUGACCCCUCGCAGACGUGCUUUCUCCUGCAGAUAACGUGAUUGCAGCUCAGAGAAGUUGGUUGACUUUCCAAAGGUCAUGCAGGUGUUGAGUAGAAGAGCGUGGAUCUGAGUUCAGGUCCUUCUAAUUCCAGAGCCUAUGUCUUCUCUGUGGGUUACUCUCUGGUUUCUUCAACUUGAAAUUCAUCCAGCCGAUUACCAGUUGAGAUAGUAUUUCUCAAUUUCGCUUUCAAAAAAACUUGAUCCAUAGCUAGAAUCUAAUCAGUACUUAAGAAUGAAUUGAGCAUAUACUGUUUCUCCAAGUAAACAUUUUUUUAUUAAGUUUAACAACUUUAUUAAGGCAUAAAUGACAAAAUAAACUAUACACACUCAAAGUGCACAAUGUAAUCAGUUUUGACAUAUAUUAUUCACCUGUGAAGUCAUUACCAUAAUCAAGACAAUGAACAUAUCCAUCAAUCCCAGAAGUUUCUUCAUUCUCCCUCCUAAGUUCUCAUCCCCAGCCCUCUUCAGAUCUCUCUCCCACCAAUUAUCAGAAAACCACUGAUAGGCUCUCUGUCACUAUAGAUUAGUUUGUAUUUCCUGUAUUUUAUGUGAAUGGACCCACACAGUGCACACUCUUUUUUUUUUCCCUCUAGCUUCUCUUACUCAGUAUAAUUAUUUUGAGAUUCGUUCAUAUUGUUGCAUGAGUACUUUCUAUUACUCAGUUCUACUAUUCCACCCUCUGAAUAUACAAUUUGUCGAUUCAUUCACCUGAUGACAGACACCUAAGUUUUUAUAUAUCAUAAAUAAAGCUCUUUGAACAAUCACGUAUAAGUCUUUGUCUAGACAUAUGCUUCCCUUUCUCUUGGGUAACCUAGGAAUGGCAUGGCUGGGUCAUGUGGUAGGUGUACGCUUAACUUUUUGAGACACUGGGCAAACUGUUUUCUGAAGCGAUUGCAUCAUUUUACAUUCUUACCAACAGUGCAUGAGAAUUUCUAUUGCUCCACAUUCUUGCCAACACUUGAUACGAUCUGUCCUUCUAAUAUUAGCCAUCCUAAAAAGUAUAAUGGUAGUAUUUCACUGUGGCUUGAAUUUGUAUUUGUUAAGCACUUUUCUGUGUUCUUGCUAUAUCUUUUUUUGCUGAGAUAGCUGUUCAAAUUUGUUAACUGUUUUUAUUAAACGGUUUGAUUUAUUAUUGAAUUAAAAUUCUUUUUAUACUAUGGAAAGAAGUUCUCUAUCAGAUAUGCGAUUUGCAAAUAUUUUGUCCUACUUUGAGUCUUAUCUUUUCAAUUCAGAGUGCCUUCCAAAAUGCAGAAUUUCUUAAUUUUGAUGAAUCCAAUUCAUCCAGUUUUUGCUUAGUGGAUUCCACUUUGGUGUUCUAUCUAAGAAAUCUAACACAAAC
rnacentral:lncRNA from 1 species